rnacentral:tRNA from 1 species
UAUUCCAUGGCUUAGUUGGUCAAAGCGCCGAACUAACAAUACGGAGUCGUAGGUUCGUAUCUCACCAAAAUCA